rnacentral:rRNA from 1 species
AUUGAACGCUGGCGGCAGGCCUAACACAUGCAAGUCGAACGGUAACAGGAAGAAGCUUGCUUCUUUGCUGACGAGUGGCGGACGGGUGAGUAAUGUCUGGGAAACUGCCUGAUGGAGGGGGAUAACUACUGGAAACGGUAGCUAAUACCGCAUAACAUCGCAAGACCAAAAAGGGGGACCUUCGGGCCUCUUGCCAUCGGAUGUGCCCAGAUGGGAUUAGCUAGUAGGUGGGGUAACGGCUCACCUAGGCGACGAUCCCUAGCUGGUCUGAGAGGAUGACCAGCCACACUGGAACUGAGACACGGUCCAGACUCCUACGGGAGGCAGCAGUGGGGAAUAUUGCACAAUGGGCGCAAGCCUGAUGCAGCCAUGCCGCGUGUACGAAGAAGGCCUUCGGGUUGUAAAGUACUUUCAGCGGGGAGGAAGGGAGUAAAGUUAAUACCUUUGCUCAUUGACGUUACCCGCAGAAGAAGCACCGGCUAACUCCGUG